GACUAAGGAAGGUUGACGCCUAUUUUGCCUUGUGGUAUCGAGGUACCAUUCACAGAGUUGAACCAUUUCAAAGGUAUCAUUUAAAGGUAUUUCCUUUCUCUCUUGAUGUGGUGUAUAUCUCAUCUUACGUAGCUUCAAGGGCAAUAUGAGGAGAUAUGAAAAAAGAUUUUAUAGUUGAGGACACCCACUGAUGCUUUCCACCAUAAUCUAGAGAACGCACCAAUAAGACUCACCUGUAGGGAGCAUCACAAAUUCACAUUUUCCGUCGGUAGGGAAACCAUUCAGAAGCGCAGGCUCGGAAAUACAAGCAACAUGGAUUACCACGAAGUUGCCAGUUGCGACAUGAGUGACUCGUACACCGAUGACCAGCAUCGAGCACCGGAGAUGAGCUUAUCUCAACCCGCGAUCCUCCGCCCUAAUACCGGUACUUGGAGAAAUCUGGCGUAUCGAGUGAUCCGAUAUGAGAAGGAGAAGGAGGCGCUAGGUGAACAGCCCAACCUCUCCUUCUCUCAGCCUCUCAUCUUCCAGGCGUCCAACUGGAGAGGGUGAGUCCCACAUCGCUAACAUCUUCAUCUCGUAGUCUUAGGCCGUGUUUAUGCUUCCACUUUUCAGGCCAG